rnacentral:lncRNA from 1 species
GGUGAAACGGGACCUGAUGGAGGAGACAAAGGACACCCAUACACCGCAUCUGGGGAGAUGAUUCCAGAGAGCCCUGAGAGGCAAAGCUUCUACUUACCCACAGGGUGCUACAUCAGGUGUCCUUCAUUCUGAAUGCACAGGAGAGUCACCUGGGGAGGAUUUUCAGACGCCAGGGCCCUACUCUGACCAACAAAAUCAGAUUUAGGAAGAGGCCGGAGUAUCAGGAAUUUUAAAAAGCUCCUGAGGGGAGCCCAGUGAGUAGCCAGGGUUGAGAACCACUUUGCUAGAGGAAGCUGAUCUGAGAAACAAGCGGAGGUGACGGUGGGGAAGAAGGAGCUUGAAUCUCUCCCUGGUCUACCAGCAGGUUUGGGGAACAGGGGCCUGGACCUGCAGGCAGACAUUUUGCCACCACCUGAAGCAGGGGAUAAACCCAACAUGGAAGACUGUGGAGCUGAGAUACGGAGAAGAGACAAAUCUUGAUGACAUGAUUUGAGACAUUCCUGAAGCAUUAUAGGGAGUUCCAACAGGUGCUGCCACAUAUGAGCGCUUUACAGCUUACUUCUGACAUGUCUGAGCAGCCAGAAUCACAAUUCAGCAGCCUUCUCUCCGAGGACAUAAAAAAUAGGGGGAAUAAAUCUGAAUGGCUUUGGAAUGGCUUCACACCCCACCACAGAGAUGAGGACUGGCCUAAGAUUGCGGCUGGUUCUGAGAGGAAGAAAUUAAGACCAGUAGGAAAUCAGAGGACAGCUCUGUCAGUAGAACAAGUCCGCAGAGAAGAAGGUGGUGAAAAAUGGUCCUGUUUUGCCAGGGACUGACUAUGUGCCCGGGAGGUGGGAUUUUCUGUGUUGAACCUCUGAUAGUCUUGGCCAGCCAGGACAAGUCGAUCACCCCAGCAGGGGCUAAACAUUGUGGGGGGGAAAAAACCAAAAUAGUAGUAACCACAGUAAGACUGCUGUUUUGAUUUAUAGUAGGAAAUUGGGCUGGCUUCAUGGGUGUGUCACUCGAGUGGUGUAGUC